rnacentral:rRNA from 1 species
CGCUGGUCGGAAAACCGAGGAAGGGCUUCCCGCAAACGGGGCCGUCCGACCGCGAGCUUCCGUUCCGCCAGACGCAAUUGUCUCUCGUCCGAAGGACGCCGCAGCCGGUCGGGCAGCSCAAGCGAGACGGCCUGAGGGGCGGACCGACGCAGGUGGCCGGUGGCUCUCCACCCCAGUGGUGGGCCGCCGGUUGUUAGCGGGUCCGUCAGUGGCACGUCGCUCGACCGAGGUAUCACGAGGCCCCCAGCGGGCUCUCACGUCUCCUCCCCAYGGAAGUCGGGACAGGACGUCGCAGGCGAAGGCAGCCGUCCCACCGCACUCCCGCGGAGUGGGCGGGCGAACUGCAGAACGCCCCUAGCGGCGGCGGACCCGUCGGAGGUCGGAGGCUGGCGGCGAGUAGGUCGGUCACCCACCCGACCCGUCUUGAAACACGGACCAAGGAGUCUAACAUGUGCGCGAGUCAAUGGGUCUUGAACAGGCCCAGAGGCGCAAUGAAAGCAAAGGUUCGGCUCCCACGCCGACCGAGUUGGGAUCCGCCGGUUUAGUCCGGCGGCGCACCAACGACCCGUCCCGUGCGGCUCGCCGCUCGGGCGGAGUGUGAGCGUACACGUUGGGACCCGAAAGAUGGUGAACUAUGCCCGGACAGGACGAGGCCAGAG